UGGGGAAUAUUGGACAAUGGGGGCAACCCUGAUCCAGCAAUGCCGCGUGUGUGAAGAAGGUCUUCGGAUUGUAAAGCACUUUCGACGGGGACGAUGAUGACGGUACCCGUAGAAGAAGCCCCGGCUAACUUCGUGCCAGCAGCCGCGGUAAUACGAAGGGGGCUAGCGUUGCUCGGAAUGACUGGGCGUAAAGGGCGUGUAGGCGGUUUACACAGUCAGAUGUGAAAUCCCCGGGCUUAACCUGGGAGCUGCAUUUGAUACGUGUAGACUAGAGUGUGAGAGAGGGUUGUGGAAUUCCCAGUGUAGAGGCGAAAUUCGUAGAUAUUGGGAAGAACACC
rnacentral:rRNA from 1 species